rnacentral:rRNA from 1 species
UAGGUGGUUUAUUAANUCAGAUGUGAAAGCCCUGGGCUCNNCNUAGGAACUGCNUUGAANCUGGUAAACUAGAGUAUAGGAGAGGAAAGUGGAAUUUCAGGUGUAGCGGUGAAAUGCGUAGAUAUCUGAAGGAACAUCAAUGGCGAAGGCAGCUUUCUGGACUAAUACUGACACUGAGGUACGAAAGCGUGGGUAGCAAACAGGAUUAGAUACCCUGGUAGUCCACGCCGUAAACGAUGAUAACUAGCCGUUGGGAGGAUUUACCUCUUAGUGGCGAAGCUAACGCGUUAAGUUAUCCGCCUGGGGAGUACGGCCGCAAGGUUAAAACUCAAAGGAAUUGACGGGGACCCGCACAAGCGGUGGAGCAUGUGGUUUAAUUCGAUGCAACGCGAAGAACCUUACCUGGUCUUGACAUACAGAGAACUUUCCAGAGAUGGAUUGGUGCCUUCGGGAACUCUGAUACAGGUGCUGCAUGGCUGUCGUCAGCUCGUGUCGUGAGAUGUUGGGUUAAGUCCCGUAACGAGCGCAACCCUUAUCUUUAUUUGCCAGCACAUCAUGGUGGGAACUAUAAAGAGACUGCCGGUGAUAAACCGGAGGAAGGCGGGGACGACGUCAAGUCAUCAUGGCCCUUACGACCAGGGCUACACACGUGCUACAAUGGGAAGGACAAAGGGUUGCUAAGCCGCGAGGUGGUGCUAAUCUCAUAAACCUUCUCGUAGUCCGGAUCGGAGUCUGCAACUCGACUCCGUGAAGUCGGAAUCGCUAGUAAUCGUGGAUCAGAACGCCACGGUGAAUACGUUCCCGGGUCUUGUACACACCGCCCGUCAUACCAUGGGAGUGGGUUGCAAAAGAAGUGGGUAGCUUAUCUGGGCGCUCACCACUUUGUGAUUCAUGACUGGGGUAAAGUCGUAACAAGGUA